GCUGGAAUCGCUAGUAAUCGCGAAUCAGAAUGUCGCGGUGAAUACGUUCCCGGGUCUUGUACACACCGCCCGUCACACCAUGGGAGUCAGCAACGCCCGAAGUCAGUGACCUAACCGAAAGGAGGGAGCUGCCGAAGGCAGGUCCGGUAACUGGGGUGAAGUCGUAACAAGGUAUC
rnacentral:rRNA from 1 species